GCGUGUGUGAAGAAGGCCUUCGGGUUGUAAAGCACUUUCAGCAGUGAGGAAGGUCGUGUACUUAAUACGUGCACGGCUUGACGUUAGCUGCAGAAGAAGCACCGGCUAACUCCGUGCCAGCAGCCGCGGUAAUACGGAGGGUGCGAGCGUUAAUCGGAAUUACUGGGCGUAAAGCGCAUGCAGGCGGUUUGUUAAGUCAGAUGUGAAAGCCCGGGGCUCAACCUCGGAACCGCAUUUGAAACUGGCAGGCUAGAGUCUUGUAGAGGGGGGUAGAAUUUCAGGUGUAGCGGUGAAAUGCGUAGAGAUCUGAAGGAAUACCAGUGGCGAAGGCGGCCCCCUGGACAAAGACUGACGCUCAGAUGCGAAAGCGUGGGUAGCAAACAGGAUUAGAUACCCUGGUAGUCCACGCCGUAAACGCUGUCUACUUGGAGGUUGAGGUUUUAGACUUUGGCUUUCGGCGCUAACGCAUUAAGUAGACCGCCUGGGGAGUACGGCCGCAAGGUUAAAACUCAAAUGAAUUGACGGGGGCCCGCACAAGCGGUGGAGCAUGUGGUUUAAUUCGAUGCAACGCGAAGAACCUUACCUACUCUUGACAUCCAGCGAAGCCUUUAGAGAUAGAGGNGUGCCUUCGGGAGCGCUGAGACAGGUGCUGCAUGGCUGUCGUCAGCUCGUGUUGUGAAAUGUUGGGUUAAGUCCCGCAACGAGCGCAACCCUUAUCCUUGUUUGCCAGCACGUAAUGGUGGGAACUCCAGGGAGACUGCCGGUGAUAAACCGGAGGAA
rnacentral:rRNA from 1 species